AGAAAUAGCUGAAAACAAUCUAUUUCAUUUGAAUUAAGGAAGCUGAGUAUUACUGCAGCAAUUUAAGAAAAACCCUCUUAACUUCCUGGAAACUGAAAGAUUUUUUUGAAGAAGUAAUGGUCUCUGACAUCACUGUGCACAGCAAGUUCGCGAGUGGUUAGGUUGGGGCAACAGAGGAAGCCAACUCCUUCACAGAUAAGCAGGCAGUGUAAUAGAGAGACACAUGCUGCUUCGUAAGGAUACGUCUGAUUUCCAGAAAUAACCAUGUUUUUGUGCCUUAAACUCUUGGCAUUUGGCGUUGCCUUUCUGUGCCAGGAUGCUUUUGCCCAAGGUAGGUAGCAAUUGAUAUUUCCUUCUCUAAUUUUGAUCCCAUAAUGUCUCUGUAGAAUUAAAACAGAUUCUAAGCUUUGUUAAGUGGAGAUAAAGCAUCUUUAUUCAGCAGCUAGAAUGCAAUUGAAUGCAAUAGUGUCAUAACCUGGAUCAGGAAAGUUAACGUAUGAUGUACGAAGCUAAAAUGUCUUCCGCACAGUUGUGAGUUCAGUAAGACAUUUUAAAAGAAAAACAAAACGUUCAUAGUUGCAUUUAAAAACACAUAAAUUGAUCUCUUAUGAGAACAUAUAUUAUCUUUGUUUAGUCUCAAAAAGCAUUACUUUGUUUUUUGUGCUUAAAAGCUGUAAGAAACAAUCUUCCCAUCAAUUUAAGUUCUCCCUGAUCUGAGAAUCUACCCUAAGUUUCUCAGUUUGAUUUUUGCAGCAAUGUGGUGAAGACAAAAAUUCUCAACAUUGUAAGGUAGUUUCUAUAGCUGAAAAAUUACAUUUAUGAUAAAUUAGUUUUUAAAACUGCUUCUAGAUGUUAGCCCAAUGUAGAUGAAUUUGUCACUGAUACUGUGAGUAGUAAAUAAAGCAAUUAACUUUGAAUUAAUAUUACUAUAAAGAUGAUAAUUUCGUGGAUCUGUUUAAGAAAUUAUUUUCUUGAAAAUAACAUGCAGCAUUUUAUGUGUAAGUACCUUCCAUCAGUUUUAGUAUUUAAUGUAACGCGGAAUUACAGCAGACACAAAGUUGGCUGGUUUGUUUUUAUUAAGUAGUGUUCACCCUAAAAAUGGCUAAGAGCACAUUUUCUGCAAUAGCAGAUUAUAUGCAGUGCUGAAAUAUCUUCUCACCUACAUUAAAUGUGUAUGUUUCUGUCAUAACUUCACUUUAGUAACUCUCUGUUGCUGAUGCAAGCAAGAAAAUUAUCUGCUUUUAGUUGAUAACUCACUAAGAGCAUUUAAAGUCUGAGCAUUAGCUUUCCUGUUCUUUAAAAUCUCUGAAAAGAGUCAGCACUGAAUAAAUGUGGUUAGUAGCUGCUGCAUAUUAUAAGAAAACAGGUAAAUGCUGUAUAGUAAAGAAUCUUUCCCCCCCCCUUUUUUUUUUUUUUUUUUUUAAUCUGCUGUCCUACUUUCUGUUUUAUAAGCCUUCCCAUUGGUCCCUUUUUCCAAGAAGGGCAGGUAACUGCCUGCUCUCUGUCACUCCCACCGUCAGUGGAUGUGUUAGCUAACAGAGAGGGCUGGGAGACUCAGAGGGGUAACAUUGCUUUAUUUCAAGUAGUUCAAAUAGUUAUUUUCUCUGUCUGCAGACAACAGUGUAGCUUGAGCCAAUUCCUCUCUACGCACUUUUACUAAACAGAAGAACCUCAGAGUAAGGAUAUGUUUCAACUCCUCUCUAGAGCACUUAAAGCAAAUAACAGUCUGCUGCAGUGUCAAGUCCUCAACCUCACAGACGUUGCUUUCACCAUUUAGUUUGGCACAGGCUUAGGUGAGAGCAUGGAGCUCCUCUUUCUCUGCCUGGUAUUACACUUCUAGUGAUCCAUCUGCAUAUUUUUCUAUUUAUCUUGCAUUUUGGUUUUCAGGACUCAUUUAUAUAAACCAUGGGUGGAGUGGGAAGGGUAGGAGCAGGUGGCUCAGAGAGGCUGGUUCUCCUGCCAGGGUGGUGGCAGAACUACUGUGCAUCGUCAUUACUGUGCAGAUUACUCUGCCUGAUGGCUAUGGGCUCCUGGGCUGCCUGCUAGGAAGGAAUUUCUUGUUGUAGGAGCAUCGAUAGGAAGAGGUGACAAGGGCUUUGGUUUUGUGGUAAGAGAAAUUUCAGGCACUUAAUCGUGAUGGCUGUGCUUUGGGACUUAUUUUCAUAUUUUUUGUUGAAGUGCCUUGUAAACAUUUCCACAGCUGAAAUAUCCCAUUAAAUUCUUCAGUGCUUUGUGCAGUAUUUAUUAGUCUGUCAUCUUCUUCCACUUGAAAUUGCAAGCUUAAUGAAAAUCUGUAAUUGCCAGGUGCAUACUUAUUAAAAACUUUGGUGUAAAAUUGAUAACAGAAUGUGCCCUAAUAUCUAUGCUGACUUUCUGAUCCAAAAAGUCAUACUAACAUACCUGAUGCAAUGCAACCAUGGUGUCUUUUUGGCAACAAAAACAGAACAAAACAAAGUAACAGCAAAAAAUCACUUGCUCUCUUUACAUAGAUAAAAAAGAAAAAAAAAGUUAUGCUUGCAAGCAUUUUUUUUCCAUUAGGUCAUUAAUGUAGGCUUCUGCCCCACACUCCACAAAUAUAUUAGCAAUUUAGCAGCUUUUGAAAAGCUUCGCUCACUGCUGAGCCACUUCCUUACUUUCAGGAAGUUAAAUAAUUGCCUGAUAGCUCUCAGUGUGACUUUUUUAUUUUCCAUGUGAAAAGUACUGACUUUCAGUAGGCACACAGAAAUCUGAGGCUGUGGAGUCUCCGUGCAAAAGAGCUGUGGAUGUUUCCAUCUACAAUUUUUGUGUUUUCCUUCUCCAAUCAUCAGCUCCUAUAUUGCUGUCUAUCCCUCUGGAAAGAAUUUAGCAGACCUAAUUUUUAAGUGGCAGAACUUAGUAAUAUUGGCUUGUUUUCUGUGUAUAAUAGCGGAUAAGGGGAGAUUCUCAGGCAGGAGGAUAGGCAUUAAAGUAGAAGAAAGUGAAAUCUGCUAUCUCUAGAACACUCCCUUUUCACAUCUUGCGGCCUUGAAAUGCUUAAUUCAAAAUCAAGAGUUGGUGUAAGCGUAGGGCUAUAUGCAGGGCCCUAUGCAGGCCUGCUCACUUCCUGGGCUGUCUCAGACACAAACCAGUUUUAAGCUGUAAUCCACUUGGUUUUCUUCCAGUGGUGUACCUAAGCAGGACACGUUAUUCUGAGCACUGCACCACACUAGCAUGGUUAUGUGGUUUCUGGACAUGAAUUAGUUAAUCACUUGGACCAAUGUGUAAUUUUCUUCACCUGGCCCUACACAAACAGAAUAAGCUGAUGGCUGGGAUAUUGGUGUGGGAUUUUGAUUGAUAACUGCAGAUAAGGUGAGACGUUGAUUAAAAGCUAAUGGGAUUUUCUUAUGUAGUAAUCAUUCUGUGUUAACUUACAUCACUGUCAUACUGUACUGAGAACAUUUCACCAGUAUAAACCUAAGCCACAAAACUGCUGUGCAGAGGCUGAAGAUCCAGCUCUCAAUGGCAGAGAACCAUUUCCUUUAGUUUUAGUUUUUCUUUAGCUAAUGUAAGUCUGGGUUCUGAAGAGCAAAUCAGCAGUGAAUAUGCUAGGAAGUUCACAUGUACGGUGGAGCAGAAGAAAUGAGGGGAGGAAAUGGGAUGAAGUGACUUCUCAAAAUUGGGACUUGCAAAAUGGACUUGCAUUAGGAAUCAGUCUCUGUUUGUCUAACUUCAAUGACCUGUCUGCAAAACUCUCUGCCUUCAUGAGAGUGUGUGCAUGCAUGAAACAAGGAGGCAGCCUGCAUGCUGAAGCUGUGACUGCAUUGUAUUAAUGCACAAGUCAUCCUGUUUUCUUUUCCUGAGCCAAUUGCAUUGUAGCAAUGAAGAUACCACCCUGGGAGCAAGCAAAGGAGAACAGCAAGCCACAAGAAUGUUCUGUCCUCUGUUUACACUCUUGAUUUAGUUUUAAGAGUUAAUAUUUAUAGGCUUUUAUCUGCCUCCCCAGGUAGGUGAGUGAAUUAACUCACACUUAACUGCGCUGUGUUGGCUUGAUGUCUCAUCAUGCUUAUUUAACUUCCUUGUUUAGCACUAGUUCAAGUGUCUGUGUUACUCUGCAUUUUGCAGUACACUUCCCCAGUCCUACUUCUAUCACUCCCUUUGUCACCAUGCCUAUUCUUCCCAUGCUGCCAGCAACAGCAUGCGGGGCAACCAAAGAGGGGACACCCAAUUUGGCAAAGGAAAGAGGCACUGCAGAAAGUUAUUGUAUGCUAGGCAGGGCUUGCUAGCAUGUAUUCAGCUCCUUGGCUAGGAGUGAAUGCCUUACAAACUCCAGCAAGAACAGCUGCAUGUUACAGGAAUGGGAUGGAUUAGCUAGGGUCAAAAGCAGAAUGUCUGUGUGCUGCUCCAGGCAGAAGCACCCUUGGGCUGGCUUCUGGGAUCAGGACUGCCCACCCUGUCUGGGGGUCACUGGCUGUCCCUGAGCUCUGCUGCCUUGUGCAGUGUGAGCAGAUAUCUGCUUUUGGCAUUUAUUCAUCUUUUAUUGCAUAAAAAUCAGUUUUCUUUUAAUCAGACUUAUGAACUACAGAACUUCCAGAAUAUUUUUGGGAUAAUUGUCAUAGCUCUUGAAAGCUAAGGCUGAGCCCUGAAUUUCUUCUGUGCAAAGACAGGAGUAGAAAGCCUUUAAGUCUUUAAGUGGCAAAACUGACUUCCUGUUGUAAAUACCAAGAUUAAACUUACUUAAACAAUUUUGAAAGUUGUUCCCUGUCCACCCCUAUUUUUACUUUUCUGAGACAGUUGUACCGUGUGUCCUGAUAUAUUUCUAGGCUACCCAUACACUUGUAAACAGAUCAUGUUCACUGGGGUUUCUGAAACUGUAAAAAUAUUUUAUCUAUUUCCAGGUUUCCUUUUCUUUCAAGUAAAGCAGUUUGGGGCCCUCAGUGCUGGGAUUUUAGAAACUAGCUGUGAGCACUUCAGUGCCAGCUUACAUUAUCCGUAGCGUUGUAUGGCUUACAGAAUCCACUUUUUUCUGCUCUUUCAUGCCUCUACUUUGCAGUAAGUACUUCCACAAUAAGUUCUUCCACUUACUCCCUCUGUGACAGUACCUCUUCGGCUAGCCCACUAGCUUAGUUUUCUAUUCUCUAGUUUCAAAGACUUCUUUUACGAUCUAUCUGUCCUCCAUUUGUGAUCCCAGUGCCCUGGCACAGAACUCUAGAGGUAUCUUUUGUUGUGCAUGAAUGAUUUGUGUUCGUUGUUGCAAAGAUGUGGACGCUGUGGAGCAAUUUUUUAAUUGCCUUUUGAAAUAGACUUUUUUUCCUGAC